GAUGAACGCUGGCGGCGUGCUUAACACAUGCAAGUCGAACGGAAAGGCCCAAGCUUGCUUGGGUACUCGAGUGGCGAACGGGUGAGUAACACGUGGGUGAUCUGCCCUGCACUUCGGGAUAAGCCUGGGAAACUGGGUCUAAUACCGGAUAGGACCACUUCUUGGAUGUUGUGGUGGAAAGUUUUUUCGGUGUGGGAUGAGCUCGCGGCCUAUCAGCUUGUUGGUGGGGUAAUGGCCUACCAAGGCGUCGACGGGUAGCCGGCCUGAGAGGGUGUACGGCCACAUUGGGACUGAGAUACGGCCCAGACUCCUACGGGAGGCAGCAGGGGGGAAUAUUGCACAAGGGGCGCAAGCCUGAUGCAGCGACGCCGCGUGGGGGAUGACGGCCUUCGGGUUGUAAACUCCUUUCGCUAGGGACGAAGCGUUUUGUGACGGUACCUGGAGAAGAAGCACCGGCUAACUACGUG
rnacentral:rRNA from 1 species